GAAUAGAAGAAAGAAAACAAAUGAGAACAUUUACAGUAAAUACAAAUUGGUGGUGGCGCCUCGUACAACUCAAGUAGUCGUAAGAGACGAAGACCUCUAUAUGUAUUUCAGUAAAUAAAUAAGAUAAAAGAUAUAAGCGGUCUGUC
rfam:Parabacteroides sp. CAG:409 genomic scaffold, scf314